CCUUGAUAACUUUAGCAACACUUCAUAUAAAACAAAGAUUGUAUACAUUCAGUAAUUAUUUUUCAACGAUGAAGCUCGUUAGCUUAUUUCUGGUUUUGUCUAUUGCAACCCUAGUCAGCUGUAGUUAUGAACAAACGGAUAUCGAUGUUGUCUCCAACUAUCAAGAUUCGCCCGACACACGGUAUGGCGAUGCUGGAAACGAUCACAAAAACAUUUUCCGACGUUCUAAAGAGAGUCAUAUGAGUAAGGUUGAGAAGGAACUCCUGAAGCUGUUCGAGGAGAUUGUACCUUUGAUACAGCACGUGCCUUGGAAGUGGAUCGCUGAGAAAAUUAAGGAAUAAAUUAAUAUUUUUCGUGUGAA